UGGGGAAUAUUGCACAAUGGGCGCAAGCCUGAUGCAGCCAUGCCGCGUGUGUGAAGAAGGCCUUCGGGUUGUAAAGCACUUUCAGCGGGGAGGAAGGCGUUAAGGUUAAUAACCUUGGCGAUUGACGUUACCCGCAGAAGAAGCACCGGCUAACUCCGUGCCAGCAGCCGCGGUAAUACGGAGGGUGCAAGCGUUAAUCGGAAUUACUGGGCGUAAAGCGCACGCAGGCGGUCUGUCAAGUCGGAUGUGAAAUCCCCGGGCUCAACCUGGGAACUGCAUUCGAAACUGGCAGGCUAGAGUCUUGUAGAGGGGGGUAGAAUUCCAGGUGUAGCGGUGAAAUGCGUAGAGAUUUGGAGGAAUACCGGUGGCGAAGGCGGCCCCCUGGACAAAGACUGACGCUCAGGUGCGAAAGCGUGGGGAGCAAACAGG
rnacentral:rRNA from 1 species